CCCUUAGAUGUUCUGGGCAGCACGCGCGCUACAAUGGUCUUCGCAAACGGAUGCAUUCUCGAAGGAGAAUGCCAAUCUUGGAAUCUAUGCCUUGGUCGGGACAGUUGCUUGCAAUUUUUCGACUCGAACCAGGAAUUCCUUGUAAUCGUGAUUCAUCACAUCACGAUGAAUACGUCCCUGCCCUUUGUACACACCGCCCGUCGCUCCUACCGAUCGAAGAGUUAGGUGAAUUGUUUUGAUCGAUAAGAUUUGACUAUGGUCAACUCUCGAUGUGAAAUUCUGUGAAUCUGACUGUUUAGAGGAAGGAAAAGUCGUAACA
rnacentral:rRNA from 1 species